rnacentral:rRNA from 1 species
UACGGGGGGAGCAAGCGUUGUUCGGAUUUACUGGGCGUAAAGGGCGCGUAGGCGGUCAGUGCAAGUCAGUUGUGAAAUCUCCGGGCUUAACUCGGAAAGGUCAACUGAUACUGCUCGACUAGAGUGCGGAAGGGGCAACUGGAAUUCUUGGUGUAGCGGUGAAAUGCGUAGAUAUCAAGAGGAACACCUGCGGCGAAGGCGGCAUCCUGGACCGGCAUUGACGCUGAGGAGCGAAAGCCAGGGGAGCAAACGGG